AUCCAGUUGAAGAGUCCCAAAUAGGAGGAAACGCGUUAUCCACUUACCUACCGAGUCGUGAUAGGACGAAACGCGCGUUCUUGAU
rfam:Schistosoma rodhaini strain Burundi genome assembly, scaffold: SROB_scaffold0000004